rnacentral:rRNA from 1 species
AUUGAACGCUGGCGGCAGGCCUUACACAUGCAAGUCGAACGAGUGGCGGACGGGUUAGUACUGUCUGGGCACCUGCCUGAUGGAGGGGGAUGACUACUGGAAACGGUAGCUAAUACCGCCUACCAUCAGCUGUGCCCAUAUGGGAUUAGCUUGUUGGUGGGGUAACGGCUCACCAAGGCGACGAUCCCUAGCUGGUCGGAGAGGAUGACCAGCCACACUGGAACGGAGACACGGGCCAGACUCCUACGGGAGGCAGCAGUGGGGAAUAUUGCACAAUGGGGGAAACCCUGAUGCAGCCAGGCCGCGUGUAUGAAGAAGGCCUUCGGGUUGUAAAGUACUUUCAGCAGGGAGGCGUUACCCGCAGAAGAAGCACCGGCUAACUACGUGCCAGCAGCCGCGGUAAUAC